GGGUCUACCCAUUGGUCAGGCUUAAUUGUCUGCACUGGUGAGAUGGAUCUCUACCUUCUGAGGAACUUUCAUGCCAUUUAUUUGGUGUGAUAGGAAAUCAGGACUGUUACUUUGAAAAAAUUAGAGUGUUUAAAGCAGGCUUUCGCUUGGAUACAUUAGCAUGGAAUAAUAGAAUAGGACGGCAUGGUUCUAUUUUGUUGGUUUCUAGGAUCACCGUA
rnacentral:rRNA from 1 species